AAAGAAACCAACCGGGAUUGCCCCAGUAACGGCGAGUGAAGCGGCAAGAGCUCAAAUUUGAAAUCUGGCCCCUCCGGGGUCCGAGUUGUAAUUUGCAGAGGAUGCUUCGGGUACGGCCCCUGUCUAAGUGCCCUGGAACGGGCCGUCAGAGAGGGUGAGAAUCCCGUCUUGGGCAGGGUGCCCGUGCCCAUGUGAAGCUCCUUCGACGAGUCGAGUUGUUUGGGAAUGCAGCUCUAAAUGGGUGGUAAAUUUCAUCUAAAGCUAAAUACCGGCCGGAGACCGAUAGCGCACAAGUAGAGUGAUCGAAAGAUGAAAAGCACUUUGAAAAGAGAGUUAAACAGCACGUGAAAUUGUUGAAAGGGAAGCGCUUGCGACCAGACUCGGCCCCGGGGUUCAGCCAGCACUCGUGCUGGUGUACUUCCCCGGGGGCGGGCCAGCGUCGGUUUGGGCGGCCGGUCAAAGGCCCCAGGAAUGUAUCGCCCUCCGGGGCGUCUUAUAGCCUGGGGUGCAAUGCGGCCAGCCCGGACCGAGGAACGCGCUUCGGCACGGACGCUGGCGUAAUGGUCGCAAACGAC
rnacentral:rRNA from 2 species